rnacentral:misc_RNA from 1 species
AGGGAUCAUUGCUGGAACGCGCCCCAGGCGCACCCAGAAACCCUUUGUGAACUUAUACCUUACUGUUGCCUCGGCGCAUGCCGGCCCCCCUGGGGGCCCCUCCUUCUGGAGGAGCAGGCACGCCGGCGGCCAACCUAACUCUUGUUUUUACACUGAAACUCUGAGCACAAAACAUAAAUGAAUCAAAACUUUCAACAACGGAUCUCUUGGUUCUGGGCAUCGAUGAAGAACGCAGCGAAAUGCGAUAAGUAAUGUGAAUUGCAGAAUUCAGUGAAUCAUCGAAUCUUUGAACGCACAUUGCGCCCUCUGGUAUUCCGGAGGGCAUGCCUGUUCGAGCGUCAUUUCAACCCUCAAGCCUGGCUUGGUGAUGGGGCACUGCCUGUAAAAGGGCAGGCCUUGAAAUUCAGUGGCGAGCUCGCCAGGACCCCGAGCGCAGUAGUUAAACCCUCGCUUUGGAAGGCCCUGGCGGUGCCCUGCCGUUAAACCCCCAACUUCUGAAAAUUUGACCUCGGAUCAGGUAGGAAUACCCGCUGAACUUAA